CAGCCCCGCGCCCGCCCCGGCCCGGCUCACACGCGGCGGCGGCACCGGCACCGGCAGCGGCACCGGGCCGGGGCAAGGACCAAAGCCGGGCAUGGCACAGCCUCCGCCGCCCUCCUGAGCGCGGCGAUCGGCGCUGAACCCCCGGCUCGGCAUCGCCCGGGUGAUGGAGAACCUCACAGCUCCUCCAGCCUGGACCAGGGUCAUCAACAGCUCCUUGGACCCAGGUGGCACAGAUGACAACCCCUACAAGUGCGUGUUUGACGAGGACUUCAAAUACGUCCUGCUGCCCGUCUCCUACGGCAUCGUGUGUGUGGUGGGGCUCUUUCUCAACCUGCUGGCCCUCUACGCCUUCAUCUUCAGGAUCAAGACCUGGAACGCCUCCACCACCUACAUGUUCAACCUGGCCAUAAGCGACACGCUCUACGUGGUGUCCCUGCCCCUCCUGGUGUACUACUAUGCCAUGGGGGACAACUGGCCCUUCAGUGUGGGGCUGUGCAAGAUCGUGCGCUUCCUGUUCUACACCAACCUCUACUGCAGCAUCCUCUUCCUGCUCUGCAUCAGCGUCCAUCGCUUCCUGGGCAUCUGCUUCCCUCUCAAGUCGCUGCAGUGGGGCCACGUGCGCCACGCGCGCAGGGUGUCAGUCGUGGUGUGGCUGGUGACCGUGGUGUGCCAGGCCCCCGUGCUCUUCUUCGUCACCACCAGCACCAAGGGCGACACCAUCACCUGCCACGACACAUCCAGCAAGGACCUCUUCGGCCAGUUUGUCAUUUACAGCUCGGUCAUGCUGGUGCUGCUCUUCUGCAUCCCUUUCCUCAUCAUCAUCAUCUGCUACUGCCUGAUGGCCCGGCGGCUGCUCCAGCCCACCCGGGGCAUUUCCCGCCUCUCCCGCUCCAAAAAGAAGUCAGUGAAGAUGAUCAUCAUCGUCCUGGUGGUCUUCAUUGUUUGUUUUCUUCCUUUCCAUGUCACUCGCACCUUGUACUACUCCUUCCGGAGCUGGGACCUGAGCUGCCAGACCCUCAAUGCCAUCAAUUUGGCCUACAAAGUGACUCGUCCCCUCGCCAGUACCAACAGCUGCUUGGAUCCCAUUUUGUAUUUCUUAGCAGGGCAACGAUUUAUGAAGUUUGCGGGCAACAAAGUGCCGUGGAAACCUCAGAAUGAGGUGGCGCUGGGCAUCGUGCCCAACAGUCACCUGGGAACCAGCAGCGACACGGACACGCUCUCCAAGGAUCUGAAAUCCUAGCUCUGCUCCGCAGCAGAAGGGCUUAUCCUGGGUGUGAAGUGGGGACAGGAUGCUCUGGGGCCCGAGGCUUUGGGUGUUUGAGGUGCCCGGGCUUGCACCCGCUCCAGCGUGGUCUGUGUCGAACGCGCUUCUCUGCUUGUUUUGCUGUACUUUUUUCAGGAAGAUGCAGCUCUGGUUGCACAUGUGAACCCUGAUCUCUGUCUCUGCAUCCCAGCCUGCCCCUCUGAUCAACACUGAGCUGACCAAAUGUGGGGAAAAAAAUCAUGCCCUGAGUGCCUUGAGUCAUUUUCCAAAGCAAGAACGCCGUGCGCAAAAGGUCCCCCUACAGAAUUCCAUCUGCAAAUUGCCUGGCACAGGGAGAGCCGGAAUUCCUCUGUGCCUUGGCAAGGCAGGAAGGGCUUUGGGUGGACGAGGAGAGUCAGCUGCAGUUCUGCUGAGCAGCUUGAUGCAAAUGUCAAGGACAAGUAUCACCCACAGUGGGAAAGAGUCUCCCACAGCCUUGCAUCCCUGCAGAAAUGCUCUCCCAGCUUCAAGCUGGCAGAGCAGGGAUGGGAUUCCCAGCUCCUGUCCAAGGGCUGCCUUCCCAUUAACCUGAUGGACAUUCCAUCCCACUGGAGUGCACUGGUAGAGCCCACUGGAGUUUACUGGUAUCGUCGAGCAGGUCCCCUGUAGGUUUCUCCAAUGGGGCCAACAUCUUCCAAAAAACCCAUUAGUGCUUCCCAACAGCAGCAGUCACCCUUUAAAAAGCUUUUAGGAACCUGCAGCUUCCAGCUGCUGGCUUUAAUAAUCAUCUCCAGCUCAUUAAAAUUUAAGCCACUCAGAAGCCACCAAACCAAGAUGUUGGAAACCUCUAGUUCUCAGAGGCUCCUCACCUUCCCCUGCAGACACCAGGAGAAGCCUAACCACAGUCCCCAUGAAAAAAUACAUUUGGUUCCAAUUAAUUUUCAUUUGAUUUGCAAUUUAUCUUGGUCCCCAGCUUGGCUUUCACUGGGCCUUUCUGUCUAAGUGAAACAAGGCUCAGGACACACUCAGCUCCAUGGAUGUGUUAAUUCCAAACUGUGGCCAAAUCACCCUGCAGUCUGCUCAGGAAUAAUCUGGGCAGCUCAAAGAGGAACUUCCAGGGGAUAUGGAUGAUGUCUGCAAAUGUAAUUUCAUGGAAACCCACUGCUCUGUGCAUCCCUGGAAGUGUUCAAGGCCAGGCUGGACAGGGCAGGGGCAAGGUGUCUCUGCCCAUGGCAGAGGGGUUAGAAUGAGAUGAUCUGUAAGGUCCUUUCCAACCCAAACCUUCUGUGAUUCCAUGACCCUAUGAUUCUAUUAAUUCCUUCACUUUUCAUCCUGAAGCUGUUUUCAAAUCAGGAAAUAUACUUGGUGUCCCAACAAUGACUUUAAGGGGCAGCCACAGUCACUCAUCACUCUCCUGUGGGACAGAAGCCCUUCAUGGUCCCCUGCACCAGGGCAGAAAGCUUUGCUUUGCUUACUCUUUCCAAGAACUUUGCAGCCCUUAGAGCUGCCAGAACACAAAUUCUCAAAAGCAUAAAGCCAGAGAAAUAGCUGUGAGCCCCAGAAUUGCUAAAUUAGCUAUCCCAGGAUGCACCCUCUGAAAAGCCCCUCCUGAUUUUCAGCCCAGGUUUUGGGGGUCUCUCUCUGGGGGCAAUGCCCAAGGACCAAGGGCUCACACAUGAAUAGGUUUUACUUCUGGGAUUUAGAGCGUAAUUCCCAAAUCUUUACUGCAAUGACUCUGCACAGCUCAUACCAGCACUGAGUCACCCAAACCCAAGAAUGAGAAUUAAGGAAGAAAAACAACCACUCUGGGGAGCACAGAGGAUGUGCAGAGGAGCGAGCAGAAAAAAGCCACCCAACCACGCCAAGUGGUUACAAACCACUUCUUUCCUAAAUUUCCCCUUAGCACAGGGAGCAGGAAGCGAAAGUUAAGAGCAUUGAUGGUUUCCUGCCGAGGAAACAAAUCUGCCACAUGGGCUGGAGGGAUGCACACUUCUGCUGGACCUUUCCAGCAUCCAAGUGGAGAGCUUUUCCUUCCUGAUCAUGCCUUCCUAGGAAGUCGGCCCUUAAUGGGACAGUGACAGGCAACAGGCCAUGUUGUUACUGUAAACCCUUGGUGCAUCCACCUUUUUCCAAGUUCUGUCUCAAUUUCUUUUCUGGUUUUCUGCCUUGGGGGCUGGAUUAUCCAGAGGAACAAGUCUGUCUGCCCCUCCAAGUCAUUCCUGAUCUGGUUGGCCAGUUUGAUUCAGGGACAAAGUUGCCACACUGUUGAGCUCCUACAAAAUUUCAUGGGAAAUUGUGAUGUGAAGGAGAAUGAGCCAAAGCAAUUGUCACCCAACAGCUCAAAAUCUGUUUUAGACACCAGAAAAACCUCCCCUGUGCCAGAACCUGUGGUGGUUUGGAGAGUGAUGUGUGAGGGAAGGUGAGAGGCCCAAAGGCCACCCAGCAGGCCAAAGCUGUGUUCAAACACGGGGCAAUUCACAAAUCCCAUAAACCAAUAUUAUUGCAGAAAUUUCCCCAGUAUGGAUGGGCCAAAGCAGCAGUUGCUCAGGGAGAGACCAAGCCAGUGGGUGUUUCAAAUAACACGUCAAUCACCCAGCUUUGUAAGGAGUUUAUUUGAAGACUUUCACAGCUUCAAUACCAAUAUUUGCAGACUCUGACAAAUAAAUGUGCAUGAAAACCUGAAA